rnacentral:rRNA from 1 species
AUUGAACGCUGGCGGCAUGCCUUACACAUGCAAGUCGAACGGUAACAGGUCUUCGGAUGCUGACGAGUGGCGAACGGGUGAGUAAUACAUCGGAACGUGCCCAGACGUGGGGGAUAACGAGGCGAAAGCUUUGCUAAUACCGCAUACGAUCUAAGGAUGAAAGCAGGGGACCGCAAGGCCUUGCGCGUUUGGAGCGGCCGAUGGCAGAUUAGGUAGUUGGUGGGAUAAAAGCUUACCAAGCCGACGAUCUGUAGCUGGUCUGAGAGGACGACCAGCCACACUGGGACUGAGACACGGCCCAGACUCCUACGGGAGGCAGCAGUGGGGAAUUUUGGACAAUGGGCGAAAGCCUGAUCCAGCAAUGCCGCGUGCAGGAUGAAGGCCUUCGGGUUGUAAACUGCUUUUGUACGGAACGAAAAGGCUCUGGUUAAUACCUGGGGCACAUGACGGUACCGUAAGAAUAAGCACCGGCUAACUACGUGCCAGCAGCCGCGGUAAUACGUAGGGUGCGAGCGUUAAUCGGAAUUACUGGGCGUAAAGCGUGCGCAGGCGGUUUUGUAAGACAGAGGUGAAAUCCCCGGGCUCAACCUGGGAACUGCCUUUGUGACUGCAAAGCUGGAGUGCGGCAGAGGGGGAUGGAAUUCCGCGUGUAGCAGUGAAAUGCGUAGAUAUGCGGAGGAACACCGAUGGCGAAGGCAAUCCCCUGAGCCUGCACUGACGCUCAUGCACGAAAGCGUGGGGAGCAAACAGG